UGGAGCCCAUUGGAAUGAACCCAGCACU
rnacentral:piRNA from 1 species